GCUAUAUAUACUUUUUAUGCUUAAAUGCACUAUACACGCUACAUACACUAUAUACAUAUAUACACCAUAUAUCCUGUGUAUUCUAUAUACAAUCUGCAAUGUACACAGGUAUACACCGAAUAUACAAUAUAUACUACAUUUAAGUUACAUACGCUAUAUAUACUUUUUAUGCUUAAAUGCACUAUACACUCUACAUACACUAUAUACAUAUAUACACCAUAUAUCCUGUGUAUUCUAUAUAUAAUCUGCAAUGUACACAGG